GGAAAUUGUUAUUCGUGAUUUAUCGAGUUGAAUGAGGAGUAUCAGCUGGCGAGGGACAUCGGGACAGCUGAGAAUCAAAUCUCUUCCUUCGGAUGUUCCCGUCAAAGCUAUCAACAGGACGAAUUAAUAUAUGGAGAUUUAUUAAUUGAGGGGAGAACUGGUGAAACUGAGAAGAUUUUUUUCGGGUCAGAUGGGCAUUGAAAAAGUAUCUAAGUAUCUCCUAAGAAGGGAGAAAAAAGAGGACUAGGGGCAAAAUGGGUGGACAAGGCUAUUGGUUUUCAGGGAGAGGGUCUGGUCAUUUCUAGAAGGAUCCGAUGAGAAAAAGGGAUUUUGCGGGAUCUAUUGAUCCUUCGCUUUGCACUCCGGAGUAUCUCAAAGAUUUUGAGACCUCAAGGGCUCAAAUUCACUGAAAAUUGUGGUCACAGGACAUUUUUAAUGAAAGAAAAAAUGCAAAAUCAUCAUUUUGACACUUGCCCGACCCGUUCUACCCCUGAUCCGCCCGUUUUCUUCCUUUUUAGUCUACCCCUACGCAUACCAAUUU